GAUGAACGCUGGCGGCGUGCCUAAUACAUGCAAGUCGAGCGAACGGACGAGAAGCUUGCUUCUCUGAUGUUAGCGGCGGACGGGUGAGUAACACGUGGAUAACCUACCUAUAAGACUGGGAUAACUUCGGGAAACCGUAGCUAAUACCGGAUAAUAUUUUGAACCGCAUGGUUCAAAAGUGAAAGACGGUCUUGCUGUCACUUAUAGAUGGAUCCCGGUUGCAUUAGCUAGUUGGUAAGGUAACGGCUUACCAAGGCAACGAUGCAUAGCCGACCUGAGAGGGUUACCGGCCACACUGGAACUGAGCCACGGUCCAGACUCCUACGGGAGGCAGCAGUAGGGAAUCUUCCGCAUUGGGCGAAAGCCUGACGGAGCAACGCCGCGUGAGUGAUGAAGGUCUUCGGAUCGUAAAACUCUGUUAUUAGGGAAGAACAUAUGUGUAAGUAACUGUGCACAUCUUGACGGUACCUAAUCAGAAAGCCACGGCUAACUACGUG
rnacentral:rRNA from 1 species